AAGUCGUAACAAGGUUUCCGUAGGUGAACCUGCGGAAGGAUCAUUACCAAAAAGUGAGAAAUCGCUUUCACAACCGUGCCAGUGGCCCUCUGGGCCGCUGCACCGGUGUCAACCCAUUGUGAACCAAAAAACCCUUUCGCUUCGGCAGCUGGGCCUGACCGCCUGUCAGCCUGCCGCUAGCACCAACCUUCAAACCUGUUUGUCAAACAUUGUCUGAUGACCAAAAUUUUCGAAUGAAAAUCAAAACUUUCAACAACGGAUCUCUUGGUUCCC
rnacentral:misc_RNA from 1 species